GACGAACGCUGGCGGCGUGCUUAACACAUGCAAGUCGAACGAUGAAGCUGGAGCUUGCUCCGGUGGAUUAGUGGCGAACGGGUGAGUAACACGUGAGCAAUCUGCCCUUGACUCUGGGAUAACUGCGGGAAACUGUAGCUAAUACCGGAUACGAGGCUCGAAGGCAUCUUCGGGUCUGAAAAGAAUUUCGGUCAAGGAUGAACUCGCGGCCUAUCAGCUUGUUGGUGAGGUAAUGGCUCACCAAGGCGACGACGGGUAGCCGGCCUGAGAGGGUGACCGGCCACACUGGGACUGAGACACGGCCCAGACUCCUACGGGAGGCAGCAGUGGGGAAUAUUGCACAAUGGGCGAAAGCCUGAUGCAGCAACGCCGCGUGAGGGAUGAAGGCCUUCGGGUUGUAAACCUCUUUUAGCAGGGAAGAAGCGAAAGUGACAGUACCUGCAGAAAAAGCACCGGCUAACUACGUGCCAGCCGCCGCGGUAA
rnacentral:rRNA from 1 species